AGUGAACGCUGGCGGUAGGCCUAACACAUGCAAGUCGAACGGCAGCACAGUAAGAGCUUGCUCUUACGGGUGGCGAGUGGCGGACGGGUGAGGAAUACAUCGGAAUCUACUUUUUCGUGGGGGAUAACGUAGGGAAACUUACGCUAAUACCGCAUACGACCUACGGGUGAAAGCAGGGGAUCUUCGGACCUUGCGCGAUUGAAUGAGCCGAUGUCGGAUUAGCUAGUUGGCGGGGUAAAUGCCCACCAAGGCGACGAUCCGUAGCUGGUCUGAGAGGAUGAUCAGCCACACUGGAACUGAGACACGGUCCAGACUCCUACGGGAGGCAGCAGUGGGGAAUAUUGGACAAUGGGCGCAAGCCUGAUCCAGCCAUACCGAGUGGGUGAAGAAGGCCUUCGGGUUGUAAAGCCCUUUUGUUGGGAAAGAAAAGCAGCAGGUUAAUACCCCGCUGUUCUGACGGUACCCAAAGAAUAAGCACCGGCUAACUUCGUG
rnacentral:rRNA from 1 species